CGACACUAUUUCUGUUCUCUCCCCCGGUCCUCAGUUCUCUGGCCAGUCCGUGAGCCUCUCUUUCCAUUGUUCUUCUGUUUCUGACACUGGCCUUCCUAUUCUGGAUGUUGCCCCUCCAGCAGCUACAGUUUCUUCACCACCAGCCAGAUUCAGGCCUCCCGAGGGCCUGAGAAGUAGCCAAUCCCACUGUCCAAGGAUGCUGAGGAUGCUGGCAAUGCCCCAGCCUCACUGAUCACUUCCCGGCUAGCUACUGCUCCAGAGGCAGAAUUUUCCAGCACACUUUCCGAAGGCCUUCCAUCCAGAUACAGGCAAAUGGAUCCCCCCUCCCCCAACCCGCUUCAUUUAGAAAGGCCCCCAGGAGCUGUAGAGAUGGCUCGGCAGUUAAAAAUGCUCCCUGCUCCCAAGUUCAGUUCCCAACACCCUCGGCUGUCUGUAACUCCAGAUCCAGAGGAUCCAAUACCCUUUUCUGGUCUCUGAGGGCACUUCACGCAUGUGCACAAACCCAUAGACAUAAAUCAAUGUUUGAGAGUCUGGAGAGAUGGCCCAGUGGUUAAAAGCACUUGCUGCUCUUGCAGAGGACCUGGGUUCAGUUCUCAGCACCCAGUUGGUGGCUCACAACCAACUAUAACUCUAGUCCCAGGGGGUCCGAUGCUCUCCUCUGACCUCCAUGGGCUUCUGCACACAGGUGGUUCACAUACACACCCUCAAGCACACAUACAAGUAAAGUAAAGUAAACGAUGCUUAAAAAAAUAGAAACAAGGAAAAUAUGUCUCUUAAAAUAGAGAAGGUCCUUUUAAGGCCAAGAAGGUAGGAAAUGGUAAUUCUGCUUUGGAGGGUUAAACGGUCCCAUUUUAUAGCUGAAGAAGAGGGUUACACCCACAUUCUUAGGGGAACAAGAUUUUUACCUUGCAUUAUUUCCUCAGUAGGUUGUAUGCUACUGAGUAGUGGGCACAGACUUGGACGCUGAUAACACAAGCUAGCCAUAGACUCGCUUGUCCCAACAGACAAAACCCACGUCUGCAUAGCCACCCUCCGCCCUUGCUGUGGUAACACUACCCAGUAUAUUCAAGAAGCAUUCAGGACAACAGUCACUGCCUUCAACAAUUAGGAGGUGUCCUCUUUUCUGUCCAGCUGGCCUAAUGCACCAUGCCAGGUCAGGCCCCAGAGCCUCCAAAGCUGUCAUCCUCUGUCUCUGGGGACAGAGGUUCCUGCCCUUGAGGGCAAAGCCCCAAAUCCUGUCUCCUGCUCCAGAGUGGAAAACACAGGCACCUCUCUGAGGGAGGUGGUCUGGGGAUGUGGCGGUUUGUCGUGUGUGGUGUUCCGUUAAAGUGGCUUUUACUGCUUUUAUUUUUAUCUGCGUUAAGAGGAAGUGAGCCCUCCCCACGUGGAGGCCACGACGUGUCUUUUGUAGGUUGUGUUGGUUGUUUGGGGAAUUUCUGGAACUCCAGGACUCCGCCUGUCCCAUCUCACUUACUCACCCAGUGUGACCCCCUCAAGUGUGGACGCCCCAUCCCGAGGACUCCUUGCUCAUCUCCACCUCCAUUGUUUGUUGGGUUUUUUUUUUUUUAAACUUAUGCCCAGAGGCUUCUGGGCUAUGCCAGUUCCUGUUUCAAUGUUAAUUUUGAAAUGCUCUGCUGAGGGCGGGGGUAACGGCAGGAAGAUGGCGGGAAUGGGGCAGCAUGAACUUCCUGGAAAAGAAGCCAAGAUGGAGUCUGAGGAGUGUCUGGGGGAAGAGCCAAAAUAAAGAGCAAUAAAAUAAGCCGUCCGCGGGAC
rnacentral:lncRNA from 1 species